UACGUAGGGUGCAAGCGUUGUCCGGAAUUAUUGGGCGUAAAGAGCUCGUAGGCGGUCUGUCGCGUCGGCUGUGAAAACUCGGGGCUCAACCCCGAGCCUGCAGCCGAUACGGGGCAGACUAGAGUUCGGUAGGGGAGACGUGGAAUUCCUGGUGUAGGCGGUGGAAAUGCGCAGAUAUCAGGAGGAACACCGAGUGGCGAAGGCAGGUCUCUGGGCCACUACUGACGCUGAGGAGCGAAAGCGUGGGGAGCGAACAGG
rnacentral:rRNA from 1 species